AAGUCUGAAUAAAAAAUAUUAAGACUGACUUAAUAUCUAUAUCAAAAACUUGGUAUAAAAAAACUGCCUAUGGGCACGCUUUCAAAUAAAAUAACGUGGUUGAAUGUUUGUAAAAAAAAUAAAUAAAUAAUUAAGUUAUAAAAGUUACACACUUAUUAAGUUAUAAAAGUGCCACAAUUGUCCCACUAUGCUGGGGUGGCAUUUUGCUCCUAUAGGGUCAUAAAACUACAAAAUGAGUUUUAAAUUCAUGAUUUAAUAUUAAUGAGAUUUUUUUUAUGUAAUGUUUUAAUUCUAGAUGUUUAUUUAUGUAAGUGCUGCAUGACUGUGACGUGUUUUAAUGCGUGUGCGCGCCGAACCGCUUUCAAACACUGGAGCGGCGCAGAGUUGCCAUGGAAACGGAGAAACAACAACUGACAAGCAGCAAAAACAGCAGCCUCUCGCUGUUGUUUUCACUUCUUUCAGAAACAGUUUAGUGUCUUCGAAAAACUCCGUUAUCAUCUCCGUUAGCAUCCCGUUUUCAGAAGAGCAGCGACAAAAUAACCCCUCUACAACAGAGGGAAAGCUCAGAAGAUUUCAGCAUUUCUGAAGGAACCUGCUGACAGGAAGGAAACACAGAUCCUUCCCUGUUGAUGCCCUGCACCAUAGCAGAGUUGGAGCGGAUAAAAAAGUUCCUGUCGGACCAAAUGACUAGAAACCUGCUGAAGGAGACACAGAGGACUGAAACGACAUUCCACACAUUCAGAAACUCACAAUUCAUAUUUUUAUAUUUGGUUUUGCUUUUUUUGUUUUAAAAAUUCAUAUUCACAUUUGUAUUUCUAAUGAAAUUAAAUAAAAUAAUUGUUUAUAAAUAAAGAAUUGUAAAUAAA